GUAGUAGUAGUAGUAGUAGUAGUGGUUGUUGUUAUUGUUGUAGUAGUAGCAGUAGCUGUAGUAGUAGUAUAGUAGUAGUUGUAGUAGUAGUAGUAGUGGUAGUAGUAGUAUUUGCUGUUCUUGUAUAAACAGAAGCAUUGACAAUAGCAGAACCAGCUGCAGCAGAAACAGCAGCAGCAAAAGACAUCUUAGGUUAUGCCAAGGCUGAUGAGGUUACCUGAAGCUGAAGUAUCAAGCUGCACAGUAUUUCCCUACAAUGACACGAAGAGUGAUGUCACAGGGAUAGCCUUAAAAAUACUACGUUCCCUUUCAAAUGAAUCUGAAAUAAAAUGGUGAGGAAAUACUAAGUGGUAGCAGAUUCUCGGAUUAAUGGGUCCUGCAGGGUAAGUACUACACAUUACUGCACACUAAACACACACGCACACAGACACACCCAGAUACACAAAAGCUAAGACAAAAUAAUCAAACUAAUCGGAACAAAAAAGGUAAAAAAAGAACUAUCAAUAAUGUGAAUAGAAACCUGAUACUCGUGCGCUUGUCCCGCGUCAUCUGUCUCCCAUCAUACUGAGCUGCGCCAGCUGAUCUGCACCACGCUGUCAUGGAGGCAGAGCUUCAAGUCCCGCAUCACUACCAGGCCACCAGAAACGUUACGUGGCAGUGACGAGGGUCUGCACUACACCGAUUAGUGAUGAGGUGUGUCCUGUAUUGAAGUGCAAGGAGUGGAGUGCUGAGUUCCCUCCCUUCACCACGAUGGGUGCUGAACUAUGGAAAGGCUAGAGCAAGCUACAGUGCACAUCAAAAAGUGAGAACCUGUAGUGAAGGCGUGACGCUGGCCGUGUGAGUGCGAGCAAAGCAGGUGGAACAGGUGCACGCCACACGCACUGCGUGGCGGUAGCCUGGCGGCUUUUUUUGGUGUUUGUUUUAUUGAGAUGGGCGUGAGUUGAUGGGACGAGCAGUGCCCGAGCAGCCAGACAUGCUGAAGCUGAAACGGGAGUGAGCUUGGACGCCUGCUUGUGAAGGAACGGCUCUUGUGUGGUGCUGUUCACAUACUGAGUGGUCGAUCAGCUGA